CUACGGGGCGCUCCAGUGGGGAAUAUUGCACAAUGGAGGAAACUCUGAUGCAGCAACGCCGCGUGGAGGAUGACACUUUUCGGAGCGUAAACUCCUUUUAUAUAGGAAGAAGAUGACGGUACUAUAUGAAUAAGCGCCGGCUAACUCCGUGCCAGCAGCCGCGGUAAUACGGAGGGCGCAAGCGUUACUCGGAAUCACUGGGCGUAAAGAGCGUGUAGGCGGAUUAAAAAGUCAGAAGUGAAAUCCUAUAGCUUAACUAUAGAACUGCUUCUGAAACUCUUAAUCUAGAAUGUGGGAGAGGUAGAUGGAAUUUCUGGUGUAGGGGUAAAAUCCGUAGAGAUCAGAAGGAAUACCGAUUGCGAAGGCGAUCUACUAGAACAUUAUUGACGCUGAGACGCGAAAGCGUGGGGAGCAAACAGGAUCAGAUACCCGCGUAGUC
rnacentral:rRNA from 1 species